CUCCUCUCCUCUCCUCUUCUUUUUUGCAGGUAUCAUGACAUACAAAGCUUGUCCCUUCAGAAUUGGCUAUUGUUUUCUGAGGUCACGUGAGAAGUCACAUGGUUGAUGUCUGGCGAUGGGGAAGGACUGGCCUUUUCCAGUUCCCUUUGGAAGAAUGCUCUAUUAUCUUCCCCAUUCAGGAGAUUUAUGACAAGUGUGUUCUUUGCAGCUGCUCCCCGGGCCGGCAUUCAUGUUCUGCUUGGAUGCUUCUCUGACCCAGUGCCAGGUUUCUAAAGCAUACAAUCCUUUCAGAGAAUUCCCAACACUGGACGGAACCAGGUACAACAGAGCCUUUCCUGUGUUGUUGGGGCUCUGCCUCUACAAGGGAUCCUGAGUUGAGCCUAUGAGGCAAGUCCUCCAGCUUGGAGAUCAGGUGCCUCAGGUUGGGAGCCAGGAUCCAGGUGAGGCUGUUGGAGAGGGAGGUAGAUAGCACAGGGCUUGCUGGGGACACUGACCUCCCGGAAUCUCCUCUCUUUUUUGUAUGCCACACUCCAGCAAUUUGCUAUGCUUUCAGGUUGUUGACACCUCAAACAGGGAAGGGGGGGUCAGAGAAGUGGCUUGGCUCCUUUUUGGAGGCAGGAGCUGAUAUUUGAGCAACCAUGGCACUCAGUGAAAUCACCAGGGAGGCGGAAGCAAAAGGCCAUUGGACUCUCAAAAGAAUGCCUCAUGCUGUCGUGCCUCACCUUGCACAAAAGUGAAGGAGUUAUCUUCUAUUCUGGCUUUGUUUCAGGAGAGCAAAAUGAAUGAAGGACGGCACCACAGCACAUCUGGCCUGUGAAAUUCUAUGGUCACAAACUCGUAUCCGUGUAAAUAUGCCUGCUUGCUCUCAAACUGUCUAUAUACACAAAGGCAAUUGUUAUGGAAUUUUUGAGAUGUCCAUUAAGAGGAUGAAGAAAGAGGAAAAAAUAGAAUGUCAAACAUUCUCAUUUGUUUCUCACCAGGUUGCAUCUUUAAAUACCUGAGGCUGACUCCAAGGGCCAUGAAGCAGAGGUGACUUUGAUGCGGGAUGGUGAUACACCAUAUUCUAUGACUGUCACAGUGGGGGCAUACUUGUAGAUCUUUUAACUCCUGAGACAACUUCAACUUCACAUAAACUCUGACCUGGGUGUCAUUUUGAUGAGGGUGGGCCAUGAGUCUACACUGAUAGGACAGACAGCUCACAGGAUUUGAACUUAGGAGAGCGCAUGACCCACACACUACUUCUCUCUGGAGCCCUGUGACACACAGGAACACGCUCCAGGACAAUCAAUACAGAUGUUCAGAACAGUAGUGGUUCUUCAGGCAGGCCACCUAUACAUGUGUGAUCUCAGACACCAAGUAGGGUUUGAGCCCUAUCAGAGCUUGGAUGGCAGAAGAGAGGUUUGCACACCCAUCCUGAAAAGUGUCCAGAGUGAAUGUUUGAGGCCUGAUACCUGUGUCAUCUCUCACUGUGUUAUGGCCACUUAGUUCUGUGUUUAGGGUUAAAUAUGAGGUACAAUUGUACAGAAAAUAUAAUCAAGAGAAGAUGAGAUGGCUCAGUAGGUAAUGAUACUUGCCUCCAAGGCAGAUAGCCUACAUUUGAUCUUGGGGUCUACAAUGUGAAGAAGAAAACUGACUCCUGCAAGUUGUUUACUGACCUCCACAUGUAUGCUGUGGCAUACAUGUUCUCCCUCUCCUCCCCACAUACAGUGAAAUGGCAUAUCAAAAAACUAAAAAUAUAAACAAGUGGACACUCCCAUCUUCCAAUACAGAGGAAGGGAUAGGCUAUAGGAUUUAGAGCUUCAUCAUGCAAGAUAAGUCUGUUUUUGAGGUCUGCUAAACCGUAAGCAUUGUGUCAAUAGCUAAAUGUACUGUGCUGUGUUCUUAAAAUUUGCUAAGAGGGCAGAUGGCAACCACACUUAUAAGAAAUAAGAAUGCAUAUGGUGGAGGGAACCCUGAGUGCUGAUGGCUAGGCUCAUGGUUUUGGACAUAGUGAUGCUUUCAUGAGUGUAUGUAUAUACCCAAACUCAUCAACAUGUGAAUAUCAAAUAUGUUCAGCCUUUUAGAUAUCAAUUAUGCAUCAAUAAAGUAUUAGAAAAAAA